rnacentral:tRNA from 1 species
UGGGGUGUGGCCAAGUGGCAAGGCACGGGACUUUGGCUCCCGCAUUCGGAGGUUCGAAGUCCUCCCACCCCAGCCA